GUAUAUAUAGCUCAAGGAUAGAGUGCGUGUUUAGCAUGCAUGAGGUCCUGCGUUCAAUCCCCAGUAUCUCCA
rnacentral:tRNA from 1 species